UCAAAAUUCCUUCAUUCUUUCACUUUUCCCUUUCUUCCUCCCACUCUCCCCCAAAACCCUAGAAGGUCAGAAAAUCAUCUUCUCCCUUCAACGUCCUUCUUUCUCUCACAUCAGCUCCGUUCCUCUUCAACAUCCUUCAACAUCUUGCGACGUCGGUCCUAUUGUUAUGAGCCGGCAGUCGUCUUGAUGUGUGACGCCGUCGGAAGGGUUGUUGUGUGUCGCAUCUCAACUGAUUCAUCUUCAAAGUCUAAGCUGAUUUUGUUCAUGUGGAAAUGGAUAAUGAAGAAGUUGGAAAGCCUGUUGCAGAUUAUUUUGGUUGGUGAUGUGUAUGUUCUAUUCAGGUUAUAGCUUAAGCACUUAGUAUUUAAGCGCUUAAGCACUCUGAAAACAUCACAACCAUUCAAGACGUAGCUGAUUUGAUAGAGAAGUUGAUUUGAUGUAGAGGUUAAACCCACUUGUGUUAGUAACUCGGUUCUGGUUUAAUGUUUUGGUUCAGCUUAAGUUUGCAUUUGAUUUCGAAUCAGGUGUUGUUUUGUUUCGAUAAUCGAUAGUUCAUUGCAACGUUUGAAUUGGUUCAUAAUUAAGUUACAACAUUAGUUUUUGUGAUGUUAAUUUAGAUUGAACUGGUAUGAACGGUGUUGCAGCAGAUAUGCAUUGCUUUGCUGCAGAUUUUUGUGAUGUGGCCUUAGCAGGUCCGGUGCCGGUUUACACAAUUAGGUGCAGGAUUGAUGAAAAUGAUGUUUGGAGAUUGUGAGGCAUGAAGAUUAGCAUGAUGAUGAUGAUGUUGCAAGGCUGAUUCGCGAGUAUGUUCAUGAAGGUAUGUAUGCAUAUUUUAUGCUAUGCUUCAAUGGAGGAAAUUGGAAGCAAAUUCUAACUUUGCUUUUACAAGACAUCAAGGAAGGGAAGCUAUAUGGGCUCUCUUGAUAGAAAGAAUGAUUAUUUCGAUAAUAACUACGGCGAUGAAGAAAAAGCUGGAGGAGGAGAUGAUACUGGUGAAAAGAAUAAGCCUUCUACUCGAUGUUUCAGCCAUGGAUAUCAUUUAAUGGAAGGAGAAAUGAGUCAUGGAAUGGAAGACUAUGUUUUCGCUCAAUGCAGGAAACUAAAAGGUUAUGAUUUAGGAUUGUACACAAUAUUCGAUGGACACGCAGGUUGUCAUGUUGCAAAAUAUUUGCAAAAACAUCUAUUUAAAAAUAUACUCAAUGAGGGAUAGCCUGAUUUCUGGGAGAAUCCAAUGCAUGCUGUUAAGAAAGCAUGUAAAGCUACCAACAAGGAGAUAUUAGAAAACAUAGCUGAUCGGCGCGGAGGUUCAAUCGAUGUAGCAGCAAUAUUAAUUAAUGGAGUGAAGCUAAUUGUAAUCAAUGUUCCUGAAUUAUAUCAUUUAUAGCAAGAAAAAAAGAAAAAGAAGUAUUAUUGCCAUUCUUCAAGAAAAUAGGGUGUUACAACAAAAUAGGAAUAUACAAAAACAGAACAAUGCACCAGGUGACUUCCCAAAUUUUCUUAGAAAAGGUUGGAGCAGACAUUGUUAAAAGAGCUCUUAUCUACCGUCUGAAAUUAAAUGCUAAGAAUGUCGGUGUAAAUGGUUAUGUCCAUCGACAAUCCCAAAUAUGGUUAUAAUGCUACCACAGGAAAAUAUGAAGAUUUAAUGGCUGCAGGGAUCAUUACGAUAAUUUUCAUGGAUUCACCUUACAUUUGGUUCACCUAGGUAGUUUGUGGCUGUUUCCCAAGUUGGGCUUCCCUUACCUGACAGCGUGGGAUUAUCUCGGUAAGAUUAAUUGCAUCAUCUCAAUAUUAUGCAAAAACACAAGACAAUAUUUUUUGAAUCAGAGUUGUUGUUCUAACAAUAAUGACCAUAAUCUAUAUAUACAUAUUUGGAUAACAAUUUGCUUAUCGUCAUUUGAUUCAGCUUUAGGAGUUAUUUUCCCGUCAACCGACACAGUAUGUACGCUACAGGUUGGUUAGAUUUGUGAAUAGCUUUAUUAAUUUAGUUAUAUAUCGACAUAAUCUUAGUUUCAGUACUGCAUUUGGAGGCUCUUGUAGGUUCUUAAUCAAGAAGCUACUCCUUUACUAUACAGCUGAGUCCUUGGGGAAGGUUCUGUCCAGCGAUAAUCCCAAAUAUGAUUAUAAUGCUACCACCGGCAAAUAUGAAGAUUUAAUGGCUGCAGGGAUCAUUCAUCCAACAAACGUGAUUUAUAGUUGGAGUGCUUUUAAUUUAUAUGCAAGGAGUAUUAAAAAUAGAUUAAUAGUCAGGUAGUAUUAAAGAUAUAUAUUCUAAUUUAUAUUCAAUUUAAAAGAUAUUCAUAAGAUACUCAAUUUAUGUGCAGGGAAUAUUUUAAAAAUAUAUUCAAUUUAAAAGGUAGUUUUAAUAAAGAAUAAUUUCAAUUGUGCAUAUUUUUUUCUGUAAAUAACUAUUUACACGGUUUAUUUUUUGGUUUUGCUGAACCGAUUUUGUAUUAUGCAGGUUAUUGGUGUAGUUAAUAGGAUGUAAAAAAUUGUUAGUCUAUCUUAUGCAGAAUUUUGAAUGUUGUUGGAUGAGUUUCUCUUUUAUUUUCUGCUGCAGGGUCUUUGUGUAUAUAUAUUUAUUAAAAAAAAGAACUAUUCAAAUAUGAUAUUUAUUGCAAAAGUUGCACAGGUUUUAGAGCUGUGCAGAGCUAUACAUAUUUUAGGCAAAAAGGUUGUGGCGUGGAAAAAUCAACUAACACAGUUACACAUUGUUUUUAAACCCAUGAUUAAACACAUAUACUUAGGCAUACAAUAGGUACUAUAUUUUAAGUAAAAAAUUGCUAUACAUUUGUGUUGUCAAUACAACUACAUGAGUAUAUAAUGGUAUGCUAUGUUGUAGACUUAGUUACACAAAUUAAAUAAAUUUAUACAAUAAUUAGUUAACUAGCAAAGUAUGGCUUAUUUUAGUCACUAAAUAUUUGUAAAAGAAAUAUUAAGUCAAAGUUAUUUUUAUGAACGAUCUUUGCAAAUCAUUGGUCUUUUUAGAAGAACCAUUUCAAUAAU